CAAAAGUAAAUAACCUACUAAUAAUUUCUAACAUUUCUUUUUCAUUUUACACUAGAUGAGCACUGUAGCAUCGUAACUUCACUUCUAAUUUAGAUGAUCCGGCUCCGAAAUUCUCGGGCGUUUCCUCCGCCGAUAACUCUUAUCACUUGCAACGAACGAGUUGACCUGCACGCGCAACCGCCUGAUGAGAGCCCAACCAAACGUUGCCACUACUCCUCCAACACCACCAACCUCGCCGGCCGGCCGGCUGGCAGCGACACGUACGACGUACCAGGCCUUAACUUCACAUAAAAGGACAGAACAACAUCAGGAGAGAGGGAAGACCGGCCGGAGUAGCAACGUGCAUGCAGCAGCCAUGGAGCCAGCAACGGCAGCCGCAGCAGCUUGUCCUCGGUUGCUCGUGUCCCUCUUCCUCGUCCUAUCAUGCUUCGUGUCACCCGAGCUCGUCCAUGGCCAGCCCGACGCCCUCGGCUUCAUCAGCAUCGACUGCGGGAUCGCCGACGGCCCGAGCUACCCCGACGAGUCCACGCGCGGCCUGAGGUACGUCUCGGACGCCGGCUUCGUCGACGCCGGCGCGGGGGCCAACGCUGGCAUCAACCCGCCGUACAGCGACCGGGAACUGGCGGCGCGGUACCUCACCGUACGCCACUUCUCCGGUGGUGCUGCCCGCAACUGCUACACGCUCCGGGGGCUCUCGCCGGGAGGCAGGUACCUUGUCAGGUCCAGCUUCUACUACGGCAACUACGACGUGCUCAACAGGCCCCCGUCCUUCCACCUCUACCUCGGGGUCAACCGCUGGGCCGCCGUCAACGUCACCGCGGCCGAUGACAUGUACAUCUUCGAGGCCGUCGUCGUGUCCCCGGCUGAUUUCUUUCAGGUCCCAGGAGUCUAGGCAGACUUAACAAUUUGAGCUUUGUUGAGUGAACUGGUUGGUGACAAGUAUUUUUGGUUUACAUACAGGUGUGCCUGGUGGAAAUAGGACAGGGUACGCCCUUCAUCUCCGGGCUUGACCUGAGGCCGCUCAGGGCGGCCAUGUACCCGGAGGCCACCGUGAACCAGUCGCUGCUCCUGCUCAACGUUCGCCGGCCGGCGGCGAGAUUCGCCUUGAACCGCUACCACUUCUGGCGGCCGGCUAGUUUCUAUAAGAUAUACAGGUUCGCCCGGUGAUAACUACUGAUGCAUAUUGUAGUUGCCUGCCGAUUACUUGAUGUGAAGGUCAAAAUGGGUUAUCUUGACCAUUUGCACACAUCACGUAGGGCAGCAGCAUUCCUUGGUUUCUUGCACAAGUUUCCAUUUGGAUGAACAUUUUAAAAUAGGCUUUGCAGAGUUGUAAGAAAACCGCUAUGCACUUACUCUGCUCCAAAAUGACACCGCGUAUGCACACGGAAUAACAUAAAACCCUGAGCUUGAGUUUUCUCCUCCGUUUGAUUGUACUACCUUUUAUAGUUGAUGCUGCUCUUUAUGUUACCUGCAAAGCUCAUAUGAUCAAACGAUCAAUCAUCUUAAGAAACCACCCUGGAAGUGGUUAGCAAUCUCAGACAACUAACAAGGUUCUAAACAUUAUCACCUUUCUAGAACACAUGGUUUAUUAUCACAACUCCCUAGUCCCAGAGAGACUAACAUGUAGUUCCCCUUGAAAUGCGGUCAAACUGACAGCUGGCCAUUGACCCCACAGCUUGAUCUAAUAAAAAAAAGAUUAUAUCACUAUAUAAAUUGUUGUUGCACUUCAAUUCCUGAAUGAACUGCCAAGUAGCAUGACUGACACCUGGCCUUCUCUACCACCAAACCAAAUGCAUCAUUUUAGGUCGAUCAAGAGUCAAUUCUGCAAAAUCUAUUGGCCAAACCAGAGCCUGGAGUUUCAGGCACACGAGUUGCAAUUUCUGCC
rnacentral:lncRNA from 1 species